AUUGAACGCUGGCGGCAGGCCUAACACAUGCAAGUCGAAUGGUAACAGGAAACAUCUUGCUGUUUCGCUGACGAGUGGCGGACGGGUGAGUAAUGUCUGUGAAACUGCGUGAUGGAGGGGGAUAACUACUGGAAACGGUAGCUAAUACCGCAUAACGUCGCAAGACCAAAGAGGGGGACCUUCGGGCCUCUUGCCAUCAGAUGUGCCCAGAUGGGAUUAGCUAGUAGGUGGGGUAACGGCUCACCUAGGCGACGAUCCCUAGCUGGUCUGAGAGGAUGACCAGCCACACUGGAACUGAGACACGGUCCAGACUCCUACGGGAGGCAGCAGUGGGGAAUAUUGCACAAUGGGCGCAAGCCUGAUGCAGCCAUGCCGCGUGUAUGAAGAAGGCCUUCGGGUUGUAAAGUACUUUCAGCGGGGAGGAAGGGAGUAAAGUUAAUACCUUGGCUCAUUGACGUUACCCGCAGAAGAAGCACCGGCUAACUCCGUG
rnacentral:rRNA from 1 species